AGAGCAUUUGUGGUUGACAAAGACUAUGCUGAAAUUAAUGCUUUAUCAAGCAUUUUCCCUGAAUCUUAUAUCCUUUUGUGCUGGUAUCACUUCUUGCAGGCUGUUCAAAGAUGGUUAUCCAAAACAGAGUUUGGAGUGCAUGGACCUUCCAACUUGAACAUUGAAUUUCUUUCUUUUGCAAACUGAAGACCUGUAAAACUGAGGCAGAAUUUGAGACCACAGC